rnacentral:rRNA from 1 species
AAUCCUGGCUCGAGGAUGAACGCUAGCUACAGGCUUAACACAUGCAAGUCGAGGGGCAGCAUGGUCUUAGCUUGCUAAGGGCCGAUGGCGACCGGCGCACGGGUGAGUAACACGUAUCCAACCUGCCGUCUACUCUUGGACAGCCUUCUGAAAGGAAGAUUAAUACAAGAUGGCAUCAUGAGUCCGCAUGUUCACAUGAUUAAAGGUAUUCCGGUAGACGAUGGGGAUGCG